UCCUGAUCUUAGGAAAAAGUUACAGAAAAUAGAAGGAUUUGAAGGAGAGAAUAGAAGUAAGUUGCUAGAAAUAGCUCAAAAGGUUUACGUGAAUAGAGAUGACCCAGAAGUCGGAAGAGCAAAAGAAGUUGCCAAAAUCCUACUGACAGCACAGCAGGCCCCAACUAAGGGCAAA